GCCAAUUUAAUUCGCGUGCCUUUGGAAAACAGGAGGCCGCUGCGUAAAUCAUGAGAGGCUCGCGCGCGCACUUUUCAUCCCUCGUGGUCUCGACCUGAUCUUUGCCCAGUCCUCAACGGUUACGAGCAUCUCCAAUGCGGUCACUCCUCGUGCCAUUAUCGGACAAGCGAGUUGACCAUCAGUUCAAACGUGCUCUCGUGUUUUUUUGUUUCGAAAGGAAGCGAGGGGACACGAGCUCGGACACUUAGGGAAAAACGUUCCGGAUCGUACGGGAAAAAUUCGCGAUUGAUCGCGAACAUGAAGAGGAUCUCGCGCCCCUGCCCGCGAUGGGAAUCACCUCGUGUUGUGACGUGUGGUAAAGGGAUUGCCCGUGCGACGCUCGCACCUUCAAAUCGGAUGCUGUAAACGCGAUAUAUACUGUCAGCCUCGCGUUUCCUCCCUCGAGUGUGUCAACGAAAAAAGUGUGUCCCAUGAGUAGUUGACGGGGACUUUAUUAAUACGAUGGGAGAAUAUAUAAACGAUGCGUCGAUAAAUCUAGUAUAAUUAGAUGCUGCUAAACAGUGCGUGAAUCUGCGCGUGAUUCGAGGACGCGGAUCGACGGGUCAAGGUGUUACAAUUUAAGGUGGAUAUGGUAACUAUGAACUCCGAAAAAUCGGCUUGCCGCCGAAAACCAGGGGAGAAGAGCGGCAACAAGAAGGCGGCCGAGCAUGUCGAAGAGGCGGAUAAGAAAAACGAGAACAGCCGUACGAACGAAUCCCCGAAUUUGUCCCCCAACACCUCCAUGUACAACGUCACUGCCUCUUGCGCUGAAGAUACCCCUAAUUACCUUGUCUACAAAAAGAUGGAGUCAAUCGUGGAAAAGAUGCUGGACGAAUUUACCGGUGUCCCUGUGAAAACGGUCAAGACUUUCAUGACAAAAACGCCGUCUGUUUUUACAGGCACGGAUCUCAUAGCAUGGAUGAUGAAGAGUAUGGAUAUAGACGAUCAAGAGGCUCUUCAUGUGGCUCACCUUAUGGCAUCCCAUGGAUAUUUUUUUCCUAUCGACGACCACUGCCUUACUGUAAAGAACGACAACACAUUCUACAGGUUUCAAACACCCUAUUUUUGGCCAUCGAACUGUUGGGAACCUGAGAACACCGAUUACGCUGUUUAUUUGUGCAAGAGGACGAUGCAGAACAAAACGCGAUUGGAACUGGCGGAUUACGAGGCGGAGAACCUGGCCAGAUUGCAGAAAAUGUUCUCGCGGAAGUGGGAAUUUAUUUUUAUGCAGGCGGAAGCGCAGAGCAAAGUCGACAAGAAAAGGGACAAGCUGGAGAGGAAGGUGUUGGACAGCCAGGAAAGAGCCUUCUGGGACGUGCAUCGGCCAAUGCCCGGGUGUGUAAAUACCACGGAGCCAGAUAUCAAAAAGGCUUGCCGAAGUCACAAAUCCGUCGUGCAUCCAAGCAAGCACCUGCAACUUGGGAUCGCCGGCGGCAGGAUAUCACCGACCGCGGAGACGCACGCGGCCUCCUCGUCGAUAGAUCUCCUGCAGAAGGAGAUCGAUAUCCUGAAGGACAGAUUGGACAAGCCGGCUAUUAAACUCUCCAAAGUGGCUGAAGCGCUGAUCGGAUACUUCGAGCAGUACAUGGAAUACGACCCCUUCUUCACCCAACCCGAGUACACGAAUCCGUGGAUAUCCGACAGUCCGGAAAUGUGGGAGCAGGAGAAAUUAGCGCGCGAAAUAUCCACGAGGAGGGUAAAGAGAUGGGCGUUCAGCCUCCAAGAGCUCCUUCAGGAUCCCAUUGGCAGAGAACAAUUUAUACGCUUCUUAGAUAAGGAAUUUAGCGGCGAGAAUCUCAAAAAGACAUCGAAAGAAAAAUCGAAGAGAUCUGGCGCGAGUUCUUGGACACGGACGCCAGCUGUCCCGUCAACGUCGAUUCGCGAUCUUACGAGAUGACCAAGAGGAAUCUCGAGAAGCCGGACCGAUGGUGUUUCGACGUUGCUGCGGCGCACGUGUAUCACCUGAUGAAGAGCGACAGUUACUCGAGAUACUUACGCUCGGAGAUGUACAAGGAUUUUCUCAAUGGAUCGAA
rnacentral:misc_RNA from 1 species